rnacentral:rRNA from 1 species
GAUGAACGCUGGCGGCGUGCCUAAUACAUGCAAGUCGAGCGAACAGACGAGGAGCUUGCUCCUCUGACGUUAGCGGCGGACGGGUGAGUAACACGUGGAUAACCUACCUAUAUGACUGGGAUAACUUCGGGAAACCGGAGCUAAUACCGGAUCAUAUAUUGAACCGCAUGGUUCAAUAGUGAAAGACGGUUUUGCUGUCACUUAUAGCUGGAUCCGCGCCGCAUUAUCUAGUUGGUAAGGUAACGGCUUACCAAGGCAACGAUGCGUAGCGGACCUGAGAGAGUGACCGGCCACACUGAAACGGAGACACGGCCCAAACUCCUAGGGGAGGCAGCAGUAGGAAAUCUUCCGCAAUGGGCGAAAGCUGAACGGGGCAACGCCGCUUGAAGAAUGAAGGUCUCCGGUUCGUAAAACUCUGUUAUUAGAGAAGAACAAAGGUGUAAGUAACCAUGCACGUCUGAACGGAACCAAAUCAGAAAGCCACGGCUAACUACGG